UCCUUAGGUAUGGCUUUUCUCUUAUAUUCAUACACAAAGAACAGUUUACUACAAUCAGUGGUGAUCUUACAAUUAGCUAUCUUACAGAGGUGAAUGAGGUCACCUGCGAUAUAGUCCCUUUAGAGUUGGGCACACAGAAUAAGGAGGUUUCUUGUGGCUCUUUUAGGGUCCCAAUCAAGUUAAUGAGAAAAAUAUACAUUCAAAAGUUUAAUAACCUAAUGACAAAACUCUGGCAUCUGUUCUGGCCUUUCUGAACAGAACUAGGCUGUCAAAACGAGUAGAGAAGAGGGCCUCUGUGACAGGACUCCAUCUCUUGGGGCUUCAAUCUUGUCUUCUGCAAAGAGAAAAUUAUCUUUUCUCCUGCUCUUUGGUCCCAAGAUAACUUAACAGAUGUUGGUGAUGAAGUAGUGAUUGCUAUAUUAAUACAGAGGUUGAAAAAGCUGCAGUAAUUAGUCCAAAUAGCUUUGCCUUCUUAUUAUUGUGAUUUGUUUUUACCUUAAGUGAAAGAACAACUUACAGAGCUGUGAGGACACAUGAUAAUUACGUCUUAUAUUGUUUCCAUGUCGUUUUUUUAACUUCCAUCAUAGAUGCAAUGACUGAACACAGCAGUUAAUCAAAUCUUCAGUCUCCCUUUCAAUAUAAAAUUUAACUCAUUUAUUUUCAGAUGUAGUUGCUAUUGAUUGAGGCACUGGUUAAUACAAAAGGAAGUUGGGGUUGAGUGAGCCUGUCACCUAGUCCACAGAGAAGUUUUGACAUAACCCACAUGAACUUGCUAUACCAGGAAGCCCUGUUUCCUGUUCUGGGGCAGCAGCAGCACAUAAACCAACAGUUCCAGCCUCACGCGGUCAGGCUCGCCUCACCUUGCAGAGCCUUGAAAUUGAGGAAGAAGGUAUUUUCCUUCUAGUGGAAGAAUUCAAACAUGCUUCUCUCCAGCCUUCUGAAGGUGGUUGCGGCUUCACUGUGGCUCGGUAGGGAUGGCCCAGGAUUCAGUAUGGCCCAAAGUGUAACUCAAGAUCAACUACCAGUCAAAAUGCCAGAAAAGGACACUGUGACUUUGAACUGUACAUAUGAAACCAGUAGUUUCAGUUAUAGUCUCUUCUGGUACAAGCAGCCCAGCAGUGGGGCAGUGAUUCUCCUUAUUCAUCAGGACUCUUAUAGCCAGGAAAAUGCCACAGAAGAUCGCUAUUCACUGAAUUUCCAGAAGGCAAACAAAUCCAUCCAACUUGUCAUCUCAGAUGCACAGGUGGAGGACUCUGCAGUCUACUUCUGUGCACUGAGUGAGCCCACAGUGAGAGGACAAACCUGUGGAGACUCAGUAAUCCAGGAUGGUCAAGUGACCCUUUCAGAAACGGCUACCCUGACUGUGAACUGUACUUAUUCAGCCAUAGGUUACCUCCUUCUUUUCUGGUAUGUUCAAUAUCCUGGAGAACAUCUACAGCUCCUUCUGAGAGCCACGAAGCCCAACAAUAAGUGAAGCAACAAAGGUUUCGAAGCCACACACCACAAAUAAUCAAAAUCCUUCAACUUGGAGAAAGCCUCAGUCCAAGACUCAGAUUCGGUUGUGUACUACUCUGCUCUGAAUGACACAGUGGCAGGAACUGCAGGGGGAGUUGAGCACACACUCUGAGCAGCACCAGGGGCCUGGAUGCUGAAUGUCUCUGACUUUUUGAUCCAUUCUGGUUCCAGCACAGUCUGUGCUGGUUUGUCUCUCGGACUCUGGUUGAUACAAAAAUCAUACCAACGGCUAGAGCAUAAGAACAAAAAAUGAAUAUUCCACAUACCCAACUUUCCCUUAGUGAAGCUGAAAACUGACACAAAUAUUUCCUCAUCCAGGGCCAAAGUAAUUUCAAGGUAAAACCACAUAAACAAUGAAACCUGGGCCUCAGGUGAGAAGCAACAAGAAGCCCUUGCUUGUAUGCCGUACCCUUGUGGAGGAGCUUAGAAACUAGAAGCACCAAUUACAUUUGAAUAAUUAGGGUGGAUGGUGCUGUGUGUAUGUGUUUGUGUGUUUUGAGGGCAUUCAGGGAGUGGAGGUUCAAAAUAGGAGGACUGAAAACAUACAAGCAGCAGACAACCCAUGUUCCCUACCAGUUCCUGCAUAAGAAGCAACGGUUUCUUCCCUCACCCAGUAGAAAGUUGGAAGUUAGCCAUUAUGAAUUGAGCAACAGCACAUAUAAAGUAAGAAAGCCAAAAUAAUUAAAAAUUUAAAAGAUGAUAAUUAACUGUUCACUUCAGGGAAAUAAAAUAUUAUUCAAGAAAGUAACAUACUUAUGGUAGUCUGUACGAUUCAACAAAUUUUCUUCUAGCUAAGUUGUACUACCAAUUGGUGAUUAGGCAGAAUACCUAUUUUCCCCAAAUGUUAUUACUAAGGUUUUGGACUUUUGCUUAUCAAUUAGGCUUUUUUUUAUUUUUAGUAGCUUUACAUUAUUAAGAUGGAACUUCAUUCCAUUUAAAAGUUAUUUAUAUGCUUUUGUAUAAUUUGUCCAUUCAUAUAUCUGCCCAUUCCCCACUGUUAUAGUCAUUUGAGUGUAGAUUUUAAAGAACAUUCUCUGUGUUAAGAAAGUCAUCAUAAAGCUGUCAUAUAUAUGUGUCAUUUAAAAAAGUUUAAUAUGGGAGUUCCCGUCGUGGCGCAGUGGUUAA